AUGUGUCAUUAGCAGCCCCAGUCCAUACAUUUUCUCGUUAUUCAGCCAAAAAAGCUAUUUAUAAAAUUUGGCCAAGGCUAGGGAGUAAAUUUUAAAGCUGUUUUAUUUCCAUUAUUUGAGCUAGCUUUAAUUUUCUUGAAACCUACCCUUGAUAAAGGUUAUACUGUUGGUGUGUUUACACCUAUUUCGCUACUGUAUUUUGUUUUUAAAUCAGAGUCAGCGUUCAGUAUUACCACCUAUUUUAGUCCAGCACCUUGACCUUUGGACAUAGGAACCAAAUGUGCGAUAAGGGUCAGCCACCAUUUCAGGCAGCUUGGGCUGCGAGAAUAUUGAAAAUCUUUUGGCUCCCCUGUUGCCACUAGCAAAAAUGAGGCUGUCCAUUGUUCACUUGAACAAGUAAAAGGUUGCUCAUGUAAUUUCAAGCUGCUAUGGGCUGCGAGAAUAUUGAAAAUCUUUUGGCUCCCCUGUUGCCACUAGCAAAAAUGAGGCUGUCCAUUGUUCACUUGAACAAGUAAAAGGUUGCUCAUGUAAUUUCAAGCUGCUAUGGGCUGCGAGAAUAAUGAAAAUCUUUUGGCUCCCCUGUUGCCACUAGCAAAA